rnacentral:antisense_RNA from 1 species
CUUGAUCGAACCCAGCAGCAGCGGGGUCUCGCGGUCCUGCCCGUAGGUGGCCAGCAACGCCUGCGCCUC